GUCCCCAAAUCGAGAAGACAGCACCAGGAGCAGGGGUCUGACAUACACAUGCAUGCAGUCCCUGUUGCAUUGGGGUGAAAUGUUCAUCACUUGGCUGUGGGACUCAAGACCUGCCCAGUGUGUUGAAAGGAAGAUCUGAAGAAGCAAGAUUUAACUUUGUGUGAAGAUUUAUUUAAUCCCUUAAAAGGAGUUUAUCCGUGGGAGAGUGUUAAGAAUUACUAUUUAAAAACUGGAAGAUAAAAACCAUAUACCAAAUACAUUAAAGCAGAACAAGAUGUCCUUAUGUUGACCUUGAUCUAGAAUUAUCCAGAAGACGAGUUUUCUCCAACUGUGGGUGGCACCAUCCCCUGCUGUAGGAUCCAAGAUUGUGCAAACAAGGAUAAAGCUCACCCAACUUGAGAGCUCAUCUGCCUUUGCUUCUUGAGUGUGGAUGCCAUGUGACCAGCUGUCUCCUGCAGCCAUCCAUGCCUUCCCCGACUCAGUGGACUGUAUCCUCAAACUGAUCUCACUUGUGGGAUGGUGCCACCCACAUGGAGGUGGGAAGGCCCACCUCAAGUAACCCAGUGUGUAUGGACCACCCGCCUCACAGACAUGACUGGAGAUUUGUUUCCAUGGUGAUUCCAAGUCCCAUCAAGUUGGCAACCAAAAUUCACCAUCCCACAAUCUGCCUAAGAUUUGUAUCCUGUCAUUACUGUAAGUGAACAAGUAGCAAUUUUCACAGUUUAACUUUUUACUCAUAUCUGUAGCAUUUACCAUGAGAGCAACUGUUUUACCCAGACAGAGUGAUCUUGAGCGUGCAGCAUGUCAUUUCACUUUGUCUUUGUGAAUUGUGCUUAAGAGACAUUUAUCGCAACGUGGAGCUCUGCAGCUAACAGAGGCGACGCUCUCUGGAAGAUGUGAAGAGAAUUGUCCUCCAUAGGCUCUGGCGUUUAAACACUUGGUCCCCGGUUGAUGGCUCUGAUGGGGGAGGUCUAGCUCCGCUGGAGGAAAGCUGGGGAGGGCUUUGAGGUUAUAUAGCCGCCUCCUAUAUCCAGCUCUCCUUCUGGGAGUCCUGCUUGCAGCUGACGUGAGCUCUGUUGCCACUGUAAAGCUUGCCACUGCUGCUCAUCACCGUCAUGGGCACUUAUCUUCCCGGAACCAUAAACCCCAAUAAACUGUCUUUUAUAAGUA